UACAGAGGUCUCAAGCGUUGUUCGGAUUCAUUGGGCGUAAAGGGUGCGUAGGUGGCGGGGCAAGUUUGGUGUGAAAUCCCGGGGCUCAACCCCGGAACUGCACUGAAUACUGCCUUGCUAGAGCACUGGAGAGGGAACUGGAAUUUACGGUGUAGCAGUGAAAUGCGUAGAGAUCGUAAGGAAGACCAGUGGCGAAGGCGAGUUUCUGGACAGUUACUGACGCUGAGGCACGAAGGCCAGGGGAGCAAACGGG
rnacentral:rRNA from 1 species